rnacentral:rRNA from 1 species
AAGCGAAGUAAGCAAGAGCACACGGGGGAUGCCUAGGGUCUCAGAGGCGAAGAAGGACGCGAUAAGCUGCGAUAAGGCUUGGGGAGGGGCACAUACCCGUUGAUCCGAGCGUUUCCGAAUGGGGCAACCCCGCGACUGGAAGAGUCGUGAGCCGACUGGCUAGUCCAGCGGCGGCAAACGCAGGGAACUGAAACAUCUAAGUACCUGCAGGAAAAGAAAAUAACAAUGAUUCCCCAAGUAGUGGCGAGCGAACGGGGAGGAGCCCAAACCAC